CCAGUCGUGGCCUAGUGGAUGAGGUGAUUGACUGCAGAUCAAAAGGUCGCCGGUUUGAUUCCCCAGCUCCACUAGG